rnacentral:rRNA from 1 species
UACAGGGGGGCAAGGGCGUUGUUCGGAAUUACUGGGCGUAAAGGGUUCGUAGGUGGCCACUUAAGUCAGACGUGAAAUCCCUCAGCUUAACUGGGGAACUGCGUCUGAUACUGAGUGGCUUGAGUGCAGGAGAGGAAUGCGGAAUUCCAGGUGUAGCGGUGAAAUGCGUAGAUAUCUGGAGGAACACCGGUGGCGAAGGCGGCAUUCUGGACUGUAACUGACACUGAGGAACGAAAGCCAGGGGAGCAAACGGG